rnacentral:misc_RNA from 1 species
UUUCCGUAGGUGAACCUGCGGAAGGAUCAUUAUCGAGUUUUGACUGGGUUGUAGCUGGCCUUCCGGGGCAUGUGCACGCCCUGCUCAUCCACUCUACACCUGUGCACUUACUGUGGGUAUCAGAUCGUGAAGCGUGCUCUUUUACCGGAGCUUGUGAAGCGUGUCCGUGCCUGCGUUUAUCACAAACACUAUAAAGUAUCAGAAUGUGUAUUACGAUGUAACGCAUCUAUAUACAACUUUCAGCAACGGAUCUCUUGGCUCUC